rnacentral:tRNA from 1 species
GUCUGGCUGGUUCAGUAGAGCAUGAGACUCUCAAUCUUGAGAUCAUGAGUUCAAAUCCCAUGUUGGGUG